UGCCUGGCGGCUGUAGCGCGGUGGUCCCACCUGACCCCAUGCCGAACUCAGAAGUGAAACGCCGUAGCGCCGAUGGUAGUGUGGGGUCUCCCCAUGCGAGAGUAGGGAACUGCCAGGCUU
rnacentral:rRNA from 1 species